rnacentral:rRNA from 1 species
UACAGAGGGUGCGAGCGUUAAUCGGAAUUAUUGGGCGUAAAGAGCUCGUAGGCGGUUUGUCGCGUCUGCUGUGAAAACGCGAGGCUCAACCUCGCGCCUGCAGUGGGUACGGGCAGACUAGAGUGCGGUAGGGGAGAUUGGAAUUCCUGGUGUAGCGGUGGAAUGCGCAGAUAUCAGGAGGAACACCGAUGGCGAAGGCAGAUCUCUGGGCCGUAACUGACGCUGAGGAGCGAAAGCGUGGGGAGCGAACAGG